AUGAAUGCAUUUAUCUAUCCAGCUUUAGUUGUCUUCCAUUGUUUUGUACUAGCAUUCAGCCCCUCACCCAACUCACUCAUGAUGCACGGCAGCAACAACUGGAAGAUCAUGCUAGCCCGCAUCAUCAGGCACACCAUGGAGAUCAUCCACCUGCUCACCAACGCCAACCCCAUCGAGAUCAUCAUCGACGCCAUCAUUAACUGA
rnacentral:rRNA from 1 species